rnacentral:lncRNA from 1 species
AGAAAACUAAGAUUACACAAGUUGAUGCAUAAAAGGAAAAUCAGGAUUCCAAAUGACGUGUAGGUGACACUACGGUAUCAAAGUUCAUUGAUACAUUAUUUUAGCAAACACAACAUUUGACAAGAUGAAAACAUAAUACCAAUUGCGAAAAACGAUAUUAAGAUCGCACGUUUCAAUUCUUUGUCUUGCAGCAAAGUUGACAAGAUCUGCCCUGACAUCCACAACAUUCCAACAAUCUUCUAUGCGGCAAUCCACCAAGUGGUUCUUCUAAUGGGACGUGAACAGCCCCUUGGGUACUCGGGAUGGAGGUUGACAAAGCAUUUGGCUCAUCAGCAUUUGAAGCAUGAGCCAAAGGGUUGCUAAGGUAGCACAAAAGAACAAAACCCAUGAAAACUGCAAGCAUUUUAGCCUUAGACAUGUUUAAAA